rnacentral:lncRNA from 1 species
GCUUCUGCAGAAGAGGAGGAGAGGGCAGUGAGAGAUAGGAAUCUCCUCCAGGUUGAAGACCACGAUCAGCCCAUCCCUUGGAAAGUGCAGUUUAACCUGGGCUAUAGCAGUCGCCUGAGCAGCCAAUGCCUCAACUCCAGUCAAAGGAAGCACGUCCUCACGGGUGAACUAGGCUGCGUUUGGGAGAGAAAGUAUUUGCAGGCGCAUGGCUGCGGUCAAGUCAACGUCCCUAGCAUAAAGCAACACUGCCGCAAAGGCUGCUGGCCCGACGGCUGCUGCAGCGCCUCCUGGACUGCAUCUCCCGCCGCCUGCAGCCCAGACACAAUUUCUCCCGGAGCGCUUCUAACCGCGCAGCGGUGGCGUUCCAGAGACUCUUCAUGGCCCUUGCUCUCGAGGAUCCCUUGGAGUCGUGCCUGGCCGAAUGCAGAGCCUCAUUCCAGAGCUUGCAGCAUGAGAACACCUACCGGGACCCCUAGCAAAGUACUGCCGUGGAGUCAGCCCCGGAGCUCUUU